AUGAACAAGAUCAUGAAGCCAAAUCCUGCUAUAACUACGGAGGAAUAUUCAGAAAUCAAAUCAUACGUUUUGUGGAUGACAAAUGUCUAUCGAGUUACCAUUGACAAAACCUUCGAGGGUAACCCGACCAAACCAAUCAAUGGUGCCAUCUUUAUUUUCAAUCCAAGAACUGGUCAACCAACUAUUUCUGAAGGUCAUCCACACAAGUGUAUGGGCAGGACAAAAGCGUCUAGUUUCUCAGCAUACAUGGAACUCACCGGCCAGAUGGUGACUUUGCCAGCGAAUCUCCCAGAGCAUGAGUUCCUUGCUGACUUGGAGCCGUUGGGACCCAGUCGAAUGAAGCUCCUCAGCUAUCACCUCAGAAAAACAAGCAGUAGGAUGUCAGUUCUGUGCCUGAGACCAAAUCAGUUGUUCUGGGCCUGGUCAAACCGCUAUUGCUUGAGCCAACUCUGGGAUGGUGACGUGUUGAGUGUGGUCAAAGCAAGCCAGGACAUCACCCUCAUGGCCAUAGACACGGAUAUUCUCAUGGUCAUGCAGUCAGGCCACCAACGGCAGCGAGUGUGA
rnacentral:rRNA from 1 species